rnacentral:tRNA from 1 species
GCAUCGGUUGUUAAGAGGUAGAACGUUCGCCUGCCACGCGGGCGGCCAGGGUUCGUUUUUCGCCGAUGCA